rnacentral:rRNA from 1 species
UACGAAGGGGUGCAAGCGUUUAUCCGGAAUUACUGGGGCGUAAAGCGUGCGCAGGCGGUUCGCUAAGACAGAUGUGAAAUCCCCCGGGCUUUAACCUGGGGAACUGCAUUUGUGACUGGCGGGCUAGAGUAUGGCAGAGGGGGGGUAGAAUUCCACGUGUAGCAGUGAAAUGCGUAGAGAUGUGGAGGAAUACCGAUGGCGAAGGCAGCCCCCUGGGCCAAUACUGACGCUCAUGCACGAAAGCGUGGGGGAGCAAACAGG